AUUGAACGCUGGCGGCAUGCCUUACACAUGCAAGUCGAACGGUAACAGGUCUUCGGAUGCUGACGAGUAGCGAACGGGUGAGUAAUACAUCGGAACGUGCCUAGUAGUGGGGGACAACUACUCGAAAGAGUGGCUAAUACCGCAUGAGAUCUACGGAUAAAAGCAGGGGAUCGCAAGACCUUGUGCUACUAGAGCGGCCGAUGGCAGAUUAGGUAGUUGGUGGGAUAAAAGCUUACCAAGCCGACGAUCUGUAGCUGGUCUGAGAGGACGAUCAGCCACACUGGGACUGAGACACGGCCCAGACUCCUACGGGAGGCAGCAGUGGGGAAUUUUGGACAAUGGGCGAAAGCCUGAUCCAGCAAUGCCGCGUGCAGGAUGAAGGCCUUCGGGUUGUAAACUGCUUUUGUACGGAACGAAAAGCCCCGGGUUAAUACCCUGGGGUCAUGGCGGUACCGUAAGAAUAAGCACCGGCUAACUACGUGCCAGCCGCCGCGGUAA
rnacentral:rRNA from 1 species